rnacentral:rRNA from 1 species
GACGAACGCUGGCGGCGUGCUUAACACAUGCAAGUCGAACGGAAAGGCCCUGCUUUUGUGGGGUGCUCGAGUGGCGAACGGGUGAGUAACACGUGAGUAACCUGCCCUUGACUUUGGGAUAACUUCAGGAAACUGGGGCUAAUACCGGAUAGGAGCUCCUGCUGCAUGGUGGGGGUUGGAAAGUUUCGGCGGUUGGGGAUGGACUCGCGGCUUAUCAGCUUGUUGGUGGGGUAGUGGCUUACCAAGGCUUUGACGGGUAGCCGGCCUGAGAGGGUGACCGGCCACAUUGGGACUGAGAUACGGCCCAGACUCCUACGGGAGGCAGCAGUGGGGAAUAUUGCACAAUGGGCGGAAGCCUGAUGCAGCAAUGCCGCGUGCGGGAUGACGGCCUUCGGGUUGUAAACCGCUUUCGCCUGUGACGAAGCGUGAGUGACGGUAAUGGGUAAAGAAGCACCGGCUAACUACGUGCCAGCAGCCGCGGUGAUACGUAGGGUGCGAGCGUUGUCCGGAUUUAUUGGGCGUAAAGGGCUCGUAGGUGGUUGAUCGCGUCGGAAGUGUAAUCUUGGGGCUUAACCCUGAGCGUGCUUUCGAUACGGGUUGACUUGAGGAAGGUAGGGGAGAAUGGAAUUCCUGGUGGAGCGGUGGAAUGCGCAGAUAUCAGGAGGAACACCAGUGGCGAAGGCGGUUCUCUGGGCCUUUCCUGACGCUGAGGAGCGAAAGCGUGGGGAGCGAACAGGCUUAGAUACCCUGGUAGUCCACGCUGUAAACGGUGGGUACUAGGUGUGGGGUCCAUUCCACGGGUUCCGUGCCGUAGCUAACGCUUUAAGUGCCCCGCCUGGGGAGUACGGCCGCAAGGCUAAAACUCAAAGGAAUUGACGGGGCCCCGCACAAGCGGCGGAGCAUGCGGAUUAAUUCGAUGCAACGCGUAGAACCUUACCUGGGUUUGACAUGGAUCGGGUGUGCUCAGAGAUGGGUGUGCCUCUUUUGGGGUCGGUUCACAGGUGGUGCAUGGCUGUCGUCAGCUCGUGUCGUGAGAUGUUGGGUUAAGUCCCGCAACGAGCGCAACCCUUGUUCACUGUUGCCAGCACGUUAUGGUGGGGACUCAGUGGAGACCGCCGGGGUCAACUCGGAGGAAGGUGGGGAUGACGUCAAGUCAUCAUGCCCCUUAUGUCCAGGGCUUCACGCAUGCUACAAUGGCUGGUACAGAGAGUGGCGAGCCUGUGAGGGUGAGCGAAUCUCGGAAAGCCGGUCUCAGUUCGGAUUGGGGUCUGCAACUCGACCUCAUGAAGUCGGAGUCGCUAGUAAUCGCAGAUCAGCAACGCUGCGGUGAAUACGUUCCCGGG